GACGAAGGAUCCAAGCGUUAUCCGGAUUCAUUGGGUUUAAAGGGUGCGUAGGCGGGUUUGUAAGUCAGUGGUGAAAUCCUAUCGCUUAACGAUGGAACUGCCAUUGAUACUGCGGACCUAGAAUAUAGAUGAUGUUGGCGGAAUAUGACAUGUAGCGGUGAAAUGCAUAGAUAAGUCAUAGAACACCGAUUGCGAAGGCAGCUGACAAAACUAUUAUUGACGCUGAUGCACGAAAGUGCGGGGAUCAAACAGG
rnacentral:rRNA from 1 species